AAAUGUAAACUUCACACCAGUGGCUGCUGAGAAGAAGAAGAAGAGCAUGAUGAAUGAGAGGAACGUCGACUAUUUGAAGCCACUUGACUCUUUCUCUCCUUGCACUCGUGCAGCUGUCAACGACAACUGCUCUUCAACUUGGAUCACACACAGACAGAGAAACCCCGAGGCCCGGCGCUGCUUGCUAACACUCGUCUAGGAAGUAUGGAGGAGGAAGGGCGCCUCCUCUCAGGUUACCUGUCCAGUAAUGGCAGAGCCGGAGACAGCUGGGCACUGGACCCGAUGCGCGCUGCGCUGCGUCCACGGCCCAUGGAGAUGCGUUGUGUUCCUCCUGAAACAACUUCAUGUGGGACGAGAGAAAAGAAAUUCAAUUCAUCUGGACUCUGGAAACGACAAGAAAGUGUCUUACAGGUGGCGCUACUAAACACACAAACAGC